UCUUGUAAAUCACGUGACACUGAGGGGCCCUCCCUUUCCUCCUCUCUCUGGGCAGAGGAGGCGACUACCCAUUGUGUACAUGUAGUUUAAGCUCUUGCAGCUGUCUGCGCAGGUUUUGGUGACGGAGAGGAAUAACAGUUUUGUUCUCAGUCUCAUUAGCAGCAGUCUGCUGCCAUGGCUGCAUUAACAUCAGCACCACAUGUGGCUUUCUUCAUGUCAUUUUGGAUAUUUACUCUGGCUGCAGGUGUGCCAUAGCCAUCCACGGAUUGGAGGAGAAGUUCAGGCCCGACCCUGUGAUUGGCUGCAGCAGCAACCCGGUUAAAAGGAGCCAAGAUGGCGGCGUCUGGUGGACAGCAGACAUUCCUCAUUCUCCUCAGCUCCCAACUGGCCACACUUUUUGCUUUGCCCAAUUUCGGUUUAGAUUAGUUAUUGCUUUUUGUUUGUUAAGUAAGGGUGGACCUCCAGAUGCGUUGAGCUUGUUUUCUCAUGUUUUCAUUAGUUAGGGAGGUAAGUCUUUUGUCUUUUGUUUUGCCCAUUUGUUUGUUAGGUUAGUUGCUUAUCUCUCAGUUAGGAUUGUUUUGUUUGUUAUUUUGGUGGUAGUCACCCUGAAGCUUUGUACAUUUAUGUUACAUAUAUAUCUUAUUCUAUGUUAAAUAAAUUCCUUUGUUGUCUGACCA